rnacentral:rRNA from 1 species
AGUGAACGCUGGCGGUAGGCCUAACACAUGCAAGUCGAACGGCAGCACAGUAAGAGCUUGCUCUUACGGGUGGCGAGUGGCGGACGGGUGAGGAAUACAUCGGAAUCUACUUUUUCGUGGGGGAUAACGUAGGGAAACUUACGCUAAUACCGCAUACGACCUACGGGUGAAAGCAGGGGAUCUUCGGACCUUGCGCGAUUGAAUGAGCCGAUGUCGGAUUAGCUAGUUGGCGGGGUAAAGGCCCACCAAGGCGACGAUCCGUAGCUGGUCUGAGAGGAUGAUCAGCCACACUGGAACUUAGACACGGUCCAGACUCCUACGGGAGGAGGCAGUGGAGAAUAUUGGACAAUGGUCGCAAGCCUGAUCCAGUCAUACCGCGUGGGUGAAGAAGGCCUUCGGGUUGUAAAGCCGUUUUGUUGGGAAAGAAAAGCAGCAGGGUAAUACCCCACUGUUCUGACGGUACCCAAAGGAUAAGCACCGGCUAACUUCGUG